rnacentral:rRNA from 1 species
CUGCCAGUGAUAAACUGGAGGAAGGUGGGGAUGACGUCAAGUCAUCAUGGCCCUUACGAGUAGGGCUACACACGUGCUACAAUGGCAUAUACAAAGAGAAGCGACCUCGCGAGAGCAAGCGGACCUCAUAAAGUAUGUCGUAGUCCGGAUUGGAGUCUGCAACUCGACUCCAUGAAGUCGGAAUCGCUAGUAAUCGUAGAUCAGAAUGCUACGGUGAAUACGUUCCCGGGCCUUGUACACACCGCCCGUCACACCAUGGGAGUGGGUUGCAAAAGAAGUAGGUAGCUUAACCUUCGGGAGGGCGCUUACCACUUUGUGAUUCAUGACUGGGGUGAAGUCGUAACAAGGUAACCGUAGGGGAACCUGCGGUUGGA